rnacentral:rRNA from 1 species
CCUACGGGAGGCAGCAGUGGGGAAUAUUGGACAAUGGGCGAAAGCCUGAUCCAGCCAUGCCGCGUGUGUGAAGAAGGCCUUCGGGUUGUAAAGCACUUUCAGUGGGGAAGAAAGCCUUGGGGCUAAUACCCUCGAGGAAGGACAUCACCCACAGAAGAAGCACCGGCUAACUCCGUGCCAGCAGCCGCGGUAAUACGGAGGGUGCGAGCGUUAAUCGGAAUUACUGGGCGUAAAGCGCGCGUAGGCGGUCUGAUAAGCCGGUUGUGAAAGCCCCGGGCUCAACCUGGGAACGGCAUCCGGAACUGUCAGGCUAGAGUGCAGGAGAGGAAGGUAGAAUUCCCGGUGUAGCGGUGAAAUGCGUAGAGAUCGGGAGGAAUACCAGUGGCGAAGGCGACCUUCUGGACUGACACUGACGCUGAGGUGCGAAAGCGUGGGUAGCAAACAGGAUUAGAUACCCGAGUAGUC